rnacentral:misc_RNA from 1 species
GAUGAAGAACGUAGCGAAAUGCGAUAAGUAGUGUGAAUUGCAGAAUUCAGUGAAUCAUCGAAUCUUUGAACGCUCAUUGCGCCCCUUGGUAUCCCGAGGGGCAUGCCUGUUCGAGCGUCAUUUCACCACUCAAGCCUGGCUUGGUGUUGGGCGACGUCCCCUUUGGGGACGCGCCUCGAAACGCUCGGCGGCGUGGCACCGGCUUUAAGCGUAGCAGAAUCUUUCGCUUUGGAAGUCGGGGCCCCGUCUGCCGGAAGACCUACUCGCAAGGUUGACCUCGGAUCAGGCAGGGAUACCCGCUGAACUUAAGCAUAUCAAUAAGCGGAGGA